UACAGGGGGGGCAAGCGUUGUUCGGAAUUACUGGGCGUAAAGGGCUCGUAGGUGGCCAACUAAGUCAGACGUGAAAUCCCUCAGCUUAACUGGGGAACUGCGUCUGAUACUGGAUGGCUUGAGUUUGGGAGAGGGAUGCGGAAUUCCAGGUGUAGCGGUGAAAUGCGUAGAUAUCUGGAGGAACACCGGUGGCGAAGGCGGCAUCCUGGCCUGUUCUUGACGCUGAGGCGCGAAAGCUAGGGGAGCAAACGGG
rnacentral:rRNA from 1 species